ACAGCAAAUAAUCUGCUGAUCAAGGUAUAAAAAGGCCUCACAUUUUGCUGUGAAUUUGGAUAAGUCGUAAGACAGCACACAGUGUAUGUAUGCUGUGGUACUCACUGAAAACUUCUCCACCAUAGAGAGUUGUGACAGUAGUCUGGCUAAUCCACUCACCAUCCAUGGGCUAUUCACUUUCCAACUUACUUCUAAGAAGAAUCUCUGGCUGAGUUCGGUUCUAAUGUCAAUACAUUUUCCAAAUAAAAAGCUUUAGUCAUUUAGAUAUUUCAUUGAAAAAUCCAGAUUAUUCACUUAGAAGAAUUACAUUUCUGUGUCAUACUUUCUUUGCUCACAAUGAGUUGCUAAACUAAGAGGUCUGAGAUCUAUCAACACUUUGCAUAAAUAUUGUUACAGGAAAUGAUAAACUGAAUUUUCUCUCAACCUGUCAUUUUUUCUCCUUUGUCUUCAUUCUAUUUUUAUCUAUCUCAUUAGUGUAGCAACCUUCAUAUACUUGUCUCUGCUAUGACCUACGUAAGAUCCCAUAUUUGUUGCUCAGCUAAGAUGUUGCAUAUAGACUGAAUUUUGCUCCUUCAUUCAAUUGAAAAAAGCAAAAGGAGAUCUGCAUCACAUCAUUGUUUUACCCCAAAUUAGCAACAAAACAAUAUUCAAUGUUUAAUAUCCAUGGACCAAUCUGGUCUCAUAAUGAAUGUUUCUGCAGGCAUCUGUCAUGUUAGCCUAUGGGCCAGAAUGGCUUUUGUUUGUUAGUUUAAUUCUGCACGAAACAUAGUGGCUCUGCAGACAGCAAGGAUGUUCUUUGGCAAGAUUUUAAACAGUGCAGCCAGAAGCUUGUUAUCUAUCUUUAAUACUGCAAGGAUAUGACAUUAAUCAAUUUUU
rnacentral:lncRNA from 7 species